GACGAACGCUGGCGGCGUGCCUAAUACAUGCAAGUAGAACGCUGAAGGAGGAGCUUGCUUCUCUGGAUGAGUUGCGAACGGGUGAGUAACGCGUAGGUAACCUGCCUGGUAGCGGGGGAUAACUAUUGGAAACGAUAGCUAAUACCGCAUAAUAGUAGAUGUUGCAUGACAUUUGCUUAAAAGGUGCAAUUGCAUCACUACCAGAUGGACCUGCGUUGUAUUAGCUAGUUGGUGAGGUAACGGCUCACCAAGGCGACGAUACAUAGCCGACCUGAGAGGGUGAGCGGCCACACUGGGACUGAGACACGACGCAGAGGCCUACGGGAGGCAGCAGUAGGGAAGCUUGGGCAAUGGACGGAAGUCUGACCGAGCAACGCCGAGUGAGUGAAGAAGGUUUUCGGAUCGUAAAGAUCUGUUGUAAGAGAAGAACGAGGGUGAGAGUGGAAAGUUCACACUGUGACGGUAUCUAACCAGAAAGGGACGGCUAACUACGUG
rnacentral:rRNA from 1 species